rnacentral:rRNA from 1 species
GUCUAAGGCGAUAGCGCCCUGAACGGCCCUAUCUCAUCUGAUCUCGGAAGCUAAGCAGGUCGGGCCUGGUUAGUACUUGGGUGGGAGACCGCCUGGGUAUACCGGGUGCUGUAGGCU